rnacentral:lncRNA from 1 species
CUCAGGACCAGUGUAGUCCACCCCUUUUACCAUCCAGCAUUCAUUCUUAUGCUCCCACCUAUGUUUAAUGUCAGAUGUGAAACACCUCUCUCCUACAAAAGCCUUCUCCAUCUUCCCUCUGACAAGAGGAGCUGCAAAUUCCAUCAGUCAUCAUGUUAAUCUUGGAACCAAGAUCUCCAGGGAUUUGCAAGCAGAACACCGUGGAAGACCCUGACCUCAUGCUGGCCUAGUCCAUCUCCUGCCUCUGGGCAUUCAAACCAUGCCGGACAUUUGAAAAACCAUGGAUUUCCUGGGAAGAAGUUUCCUGCCUUGGUAAAAGUGUUUCAGUAGCUCAGCACAUUCACCAUGUGGAAAUUCUGAUACUUUCCUUUUUAUCUAAUAGAAGGCACAUGUGAUAAAGGGCUUUAUUGUCCAAUCAGGAAAGGAGUGUCACCAUGUAGCACUGAGUGCUCAGAGUACUUCAAAGGUGCUGGAGCGGUGGACCUCACUCCCUUUUUGAGCUCACGUCUGAUCGCCCACCUUAUUCCAGCUGGAAAGAAUAAGGGAGGAAGGGAAAACGAACAGAUUAAUUUAUGAAGUGCCUACCAUGUUUGGGUACCUUACUAGCUACUUUCCUGUACGUUGUCUGAUUUCUAUAAUGAUCCAUCCUACAGAUGAAGAAAUGAAACCCCGGGAAGAUGACAGGUGUGCCAAGUUUAUACAGCCAGUCAGUGGCAUGGCUGGGAUUUGAUCCCAGGUCUCUCUGACUUGGUUAUAUCCCUGGCCUCAGAAUCAAAAGAUACAUGUGCCUGCAGUCAAAUUACUUAGCAUCUCUGAGCUUAACCUUUCUCAUCUGUAAAAUGGGCUAGUAAUAGCUAUUUUGCAGGUUGGCAUUCACAGUCUAGGGAGUUAAUGUGUGGGCGUACUCAAAUCUUUCACAUAGGCCUGGCCCACGGAAGGCGCUGAAAAUGAGGUAGUAAAUAAGCAGGCACAAAGUUGGGCAUUCUGGCAUAAUACUGUUGCCAGCAACAUGAUGGCUAGUACUGGGGAUAUAGCUACG